rnacentral:tRNA from 1 species
GCACCAUUAGCUCAGUUGGUAGAGCACCUGACUCUUAAUCAGGGUGUCCUGAGUUCGACCCUCAGAUGGUGCACCA